UACGAAGGGGGCUAGCGUUGCUCGGAAUCACUGGGCGUAAAGGGCGCGUAGGCGGCCGAUCAAGUCAGGGGUGAAAGCCUGUGGCUCAACCACAGAAUUGCCUUUGAUACUGUUCGGCUCGAGACCGGAAGAGGUAAGUGGAACUGCGAGUGUAGAGGUGAAAUUCGUAGAUAUUCGCAAGAACACCAGUGGCGAAGGCGGCUUACUGGUCCGGUACUGACGCUGAGGUGCGAAAGCGUGGGGAGCAAACAGG
rnacentral:rRNA from 1 species